ACGCAGAGACCGUUUCAGUAAAUAUGCCAAAAAGUUUAAACUUUAAAACCAGCUGCAGCUUUAAAUCUGCAGGACUUUGACAUGUAAAUGAACAUCUAUUAAAUUCAAGACAGACGAGUUCAUUAAGCCUCGCGCCGCCAGGAGACUCUCAGAGACGUUGAGGCCGGUUUCACAGAGCAGCUGGAGUCAGAGUAACAUCUUCACACCCUGAGAGCGUUGACGCUGAACUCUGAGAGAGUCCUGCGUCCUGACUGAGGCGGACCUGGAUCCCUCUGCUCGUCUGAAAGGAUGUGAGGCGGCGGUGUGAGAUGUGGGUCUGGACAGGAUCUCCUCGGCCCUCUGUUUGUACUGCUCCUGCAGGAUCAGACCCUGCUGGUGCUCCCUCUCCGCCUGAGCCCUCUGCUCACUCCGAAGCUGCUGCUGGUGCUUCAUCUGAGCCUUCAGGUCGGCCUGAUACGCCUCGCGGGUCUGCUUCUGACUGCGGGGACCAACAGAGACCAGCAUUUUUAAAAGUCUCCGUCUGGAGGAUGCAGAAGUCUUUACUGACGCACCGCAACACUCCAAACAACACAGGGGCGUCCAGCUGCCAUGGUGACCACAAACACGACGCCGCCGGGGAAGACGGGCCCACGUCGCACUACAAUUCCCAUGAGCCUCUGCGCCGUCGCCGUGGAGAAGGAGCCGGUCGGAGGCAGCAGCGUGUGAAACUGAUCCGGAGCCGAAGCGAACCGAAGACUUCAGCGUCCGCUCCGCCAUGAAUGUGAUUGUGACCUAAAACAAGCUCUUUGCUGAGCCCGCAGACUUCUUGUACCUUUGACUUUUUAAAAAACAUCUUCUUUAAGCACGAUUAUGAGUUUGUGUCCUGCCACCUGCUGGCCAGAGGGACACAUCACAGCUGCCUUCUCUUCAAAUGAAAAUGACAGUUUGAUUUAGCUAAACAGACUUUCUGCGUGUGAUUUAAUCCAUACAGAGUUUUAGACAAGCAGCACUUUAGUUCUGCUUUUAGUUCAGGUCGACGUGCUUUACUGGUAUGAAUGUUGUCAAAGCCGUUUGCAGCUAAAUCAAAAAGUUUGCAUCUCUCAAUAUGACAUAAAAAGAAUUUAUUCACUUUAGCAGUUAUGAGUUACAAAAUAAUAUAAAGCCUAUAUUUGAUAUUUUCUAUGGCGCAUAUAAAGAAUCAGCCCUUGUGAUUUUGAAAUUCUCAAUUUCUGUCUUUUGUUUUAGUCAACGGCUUGUUAAAAAAUAAUAUCCUACUUAUUGGCUGUUAAUUAACGCCACAUUUUAGAUUCCAGAGUCCUGCUGAAACGCUACGACGGAGGCCUUAAGGACCAGCGUUCAGAAUCUGCACAAUAAUACCUGCUCUGAAAUAAAUGAACUAUCUAGUACAAGUCUGAGCAUCAGCAUACUUUUCAGUAAGAUCUCUUUUCAGGUGUCCUUUAAUAU